rnacentral:rRNA from 1 species
AUGACUUUGUUUGUUGUUUAAGGUGAAAUAAAUUCAUUUUAAAUAAUUAACUAGUCAUUAAGAGAACAAUUAAACACUUCUUAUAAUUGAAAGAUUAUAGGUUGAAACGUUUUUGUUCAUAUUACCAUAAGUAAAAUAGAGUGUUUAAAGCAGAACGUUUGUUCAUUGAAUAAUAGAGUAUGGGAUAAUAGAAGACGAAGGAGAUAUGAAGAAGUUCUUCAAUCUUAAUGCAAGUUAAGGUUGGUCAUAUUUCUUUAAUGAUUAAUAGGGACUAUUGGGGUAAUUAAUAUUUCUACACGAGCGGUGAAAUGCGUAGACUGUAGAAAGAUUAACUAAUGCGAAAGCAUUUUACAAAGGUGUUUUCGUUAAUCAAGAACGAAAGUUAAGGGAUCGAAGAUGAUCAGAUACCGUCGUAGUCUUAACCAUAAACGAUGUCGACAAAGGAUAGGAAUGAAAGUAUUAAUAUACUUUCUUCUUAUAAAGGUACUAAAAGAAGUUAUUAUAGCAAUAUAGUAACUUUGUUUACUGUCUCUUCCCGAAUUUUGUAAGAAAUUAUAAGUUAUCGGACUUUGGGGGGAGUAUGGUCGCAAGGCUGAAACUUAAAGGAAUUGACGGAAGGGCACCACCAGGUGUGGAACUUGCGGUUUAAUUUGACUCAACACGGGGAAACUCACCAGGUCAGGACAUGGCAAGGAUUGACAGAUUAAAAGAUCUUUCAUGAUUCUAUGGGUGGUGGUGCAUGGCCGAUCUUAGUUCGUGAUAUGAAUUGUCGGCUUAAUUGCGUUAACGAACGAGACCUUUUGAGAUAAAUAGUGAUAAUAAGUGGGUGCAAACAUAAGUAUUGUCUUUGGGAGAAGGGCAUGUUCCCCUUUCAAAUGUCAUCAGUAUUUAUGAUCUUCUUAUUUAUCUCAGGUAAAACUGAACAUACUUCUUAUUUCGACAAUUGAUGUUCAAUCAAUGAAAGUUAAAGGCAAUAUCAGGUCUGUGAUGCCCUUAGAUGUUCUGGGCCACACGCGUGUUACAAUGGUAAAGAUUAAAGGGUUCUUGAUAAAUAUUGAAGUGGAGCAAUCCAAUUCAAUAUUAUCUGUAGCUUAAUAGAAAUAUUUGGCUAAUCCUUAUUGAAUCUUUUUAACCAUAUCUGGGAUAGAUGCUUGUAAUUUUUCAUCUUCAACUUGGAAUACCUAGUAAGCACACGUCAACAACAUGUGCUGAUUACGUCCCUGCCCUUUGUACACACCGCCCGUCGCUCCUACCGAUUGAAUUGUCCGAUGAGUUGCAAAGAGAAGCUUAUUUCAAUUUAUUGUAAUAGGUUUCAAAUU